rnacentral:lncRNA from 1 species
CCCAGACCCCAGCAGCUUGGCAAAGGCAUCACUGUAGCAGGUUCUGUGUCUUACCCUGGCAGUUCUGUGGGUCUCACAGUCAUGCAGCCUGAAGGGUGAAGUGGAGCAUCUUCCAUAUUUUAAGAACCGUAUAUAUUUCCUUCUUUGUGGACUAUUAAUAUCUUUUGAUGAUGUCAGGGUUUGCAACGGAAUAGAUUUAAUACAGGACACAUAAUUUAUAGGAUUAUUUUAUAAUAUUUACCCAAAAAGUCAAAUGCAGAAGAGCGCAAGAGAUCUGUCCACAUGCUAGAGACCUGAAGAAUCCAGCAGAGGGCCUGGAUCCUGUAAUGUCCUCCACAAGUCCCUCUGGAGGCCCUGAGCCCGCAGCAGUCUCAUGCAAGUCUGUAUCAAGGACCUGCACCGGGAAGGUCCAAAGGCCGGUGGUGGAAGCUAGAAAGUCUGCACUGGCAGCGUGAAGGAUCUGCACUGGAGCCAGGAAGCGAGGCUCGAGGCAAAGAUCAGAGCUCCCUUGAAGAGAAGAAGCAAAGACCUGAGCUCCUCUAACAAGAACAGCUGAGUUCUUAUCAGGGAAACCAGCUAUGGCAAGCUUCUUCAGGAAAAUCAGCAGCAUACAAUCUUCCCUUCCAGUUCUCCUUUCAUGCCAUUGGGAACAAUCCUCAGGUGGGUCUUCAAUGCCCAGAACCAUGCUGACUCAGUUCAGCUGGGCGUUCCCACUUAAACAGACCAUUAGUUAAUCCAUCACAGCCUUCAUCCAUCUUCCUGUUGGGUUAGUCUAUAUUUACAGAACCGAAAGUAUUAAAUACAUUUUAAAUGACUUCUGACAUGAUGUCUUACUUAGAAAGGCCCACCUUUCUAAAAUACAAUAAUGCAAUCCUCCCUGAUUUGUGAUCUUUCUACUUGCAGCUUUUCAACUUUAUGAUGGUGCAAAAAUAAUAUGGACUCAUUAAUCAGACUUCAAUGUUUUUUUCUUUUUCC